AACGAACGCUGGCGGCAUGCCUAACACAUGCAAGUCGAACGAGACCUUCGGGUCUAGUGACGCACGGGUGCGUAACGCGUGGGAACCUGCCCUUAGGUUCGGAAUAACUCCCCGAAAGGGGUGCUAAUACCGGAUAAUGUCUUCGGACCAAAGAUUUAUCGCCUUUGGAUGGGCCCGCGUUGGAUUAGCUAGUUGGUAGGGUAAAAGCCUGCCAAGGCGACGAUCCAUAGCUGGUCUGAGAGGAUGAUCAGCCACACUGGGACUGAGACACGGCCCAGACUCCUACGGGAGGCAGCAGUGGGGAAUAUUGGACAAUGGGCGAAAGCCUGAUCCAGCAAUGCCGCGUGAGUGAUGAAGGCCUUAGGGUUGUAAAGCUCUUUUACCCGGGAUGAUAAUGACAGUACCGGGAGAAUAAGCUCCGGCUAACUCCGUG
rnacentral:rRNA from 1 species